rnacentral:rRNA from 1 species
GGAGCUGUAAGUAAGCUUUGAUCCAGAGAUUUCCGAAUGGGGAAACCCAGCAUGAGUUAUGUCAUGUUAUCGAUAUGUGAAUACAUAGCAUAUCAGAAGGCACACCCGGAGAACUGAAACAUCUUAGUACCCGGAGGAAGAGAAAGAAAAUUCGAUUCCCUUAGUAGCGGCGAGCGAAACGGGAAGAGCCCAAACCAACAAGCUUGCUUGUUGGGGUUGUAGGACACUCUAUACGGAGUUACAAAGGACGACAUUAGACGAAUCAUCUGGAAAGAUGAAUCAAAGAAGGUAAUAAUCCUGUAGUCGAAAAUGUUGUCUCUCUUGAGUGGAUCCUGAGUACGACGGAGCACGUGAAAUUCCGUCGGAAUCUGGGAGGACCAUCUCCUAAGGCUAAAUACUCUCUAGUGACCGAUAGUGAACCAGUACCGUGAGGGAAAGGUGAAAAGCACCCCGGAAGGGGAGUGAAAUAGAACCUGAAACCGUGUGCUUACAAGUAGUCAGAGCCCGUUAAUGGGUGAUGGCGUGCCUUUUGUAGAAUGAACCGGCGAGUUACGAUUUGAUGCAAGGUUAAGCAGUAAAUGUGGAGCCGUAGCGAAAGCGAGUCUGAAUAGGGCGUUUAGUAUUUGGUCGUAGACCCGAAACCAGGUGAUCUACCCUUGGUCAGGUUGAAGUUCAGGUAACACUGAAUGGAGGACCGAACCGACUUACGUUGAAAAGUGAGCGGAUGAACUGAGGGUAGCGGAGAAAUUCCAAUCGAACCUGGAGAUAGCUGGUUCUCUCCGAAAUAGCUUUAGGGCUAGCCUCAAGUGAUGAUUAUUGGAGGUAGAGCACUGUUUGGACGAGGGGCCCCUCUCGGGUUACCGAAUUCAGACAAACUCCGAAUGCCAAUUAAUUUAACUUGGGAGUC